rnacentral:rRNA from 1 species
AAUCAACGCUGGCGGCGUGCCUAACACAUGCAAGUCAAGGCGGUAGCAAUACCGACUGGCGCACGGGUGCGGAACACGUAGGUAAUCUGCCCUUUAGGGGAGAACAACUCAUCGAAAGGUGAGCUAAAUCUCCGUAAUGUUUUACUAUGGCAUCAUAGUUCAACCAAGUUUUCUAAGGGAUGAGCCUGCGUCUGAUUAGCUAGUUGGUGAGGUAACUGCUCACCAAGGCUACGAUCAGUAGCUGGUCUGAGAGGGCGACCGGCCACACUGGGACUGAGACACGGCCCAGACUCCUACGGGAGGCAGCAGUGGGGAAUCUUGCGCAAUGGGCGAAAGCCUGACGCAGCGACGCCGCGUGAGGGAUGACGGCCU